AGUGAACGCUGGCGGUAGGCCUAACACAUGCAAGUCGAACGGCAGCACAGUAAGAGCUUGCUCUUACGGGUGGCGAGUGGCGGACGGGUGAGGAAUACAUCGUAAUCUACUUUUUCGUGGGGGAUAACGUAGGGAAACUUACGCUAAUACCGCAUACGACCUACGGGUGAAAGCAGGGGAUCUUCGGACCUUGCGCGAUUGAAUGAGCCGAUGUCGGAUUAGCUAGUUGGCGGGGUAAAGGCCCACCAAGGCGACGAUCCGUAGCUGGUCUGAGAGGAUGAUCAGCCACACUGGAACUGAGACACGGUCCAGACUCCUACGGGAGGCAGCAGUGGGGAAUAUUGGACGAUGGGCGCAAGCCUGAUCCAGCCAUACCGCGUGGGUGAAGAAGGCCUUCGGGUUGUAAAGCCCUUUUGUUGGGAAAGAAAAGCAGCAGGUUAAUACCACGCUGUUCUGACGGUACCCAAAGAAUAAGCACCGGCUAACUUCGU
rnacentral:rRNA from 1 species